AGUCCGUGGUGCGAGCAACAUCGGAGCAAGUCUUUUGUACAUCUCCCAAGCAUCAUACAUGCUUUCGUCAUCGAACUGCACAAAAGAAGAUAUAUCAUUUCUCAAUCU
rnacentral:snoRNA from 1 species